rnacentral:rRNA from 1 species
GCAGUCGAGCGGACUUGAUGGAGUGCUUGCACUCCUGAUGGUUAGCGGCGGACGGGUGAGUAACACGUAGGCAACCUGCCCUCAAGACUGGGAUAACUACCGGAAACGGUAGCUAAUACCGGAUAAUUUAUUUUGCAGCAUUGUGAAAUAAUGAAAGGCGGAGCAAUCUGUCACUUGAGGAUGGGCCUGCGGCGCAUUAGCUAGUUGGUGGGGUAACGGCCCACCAAGGCGACGAUGCGUAGCCGACCUGAGAGGGUGAACGGCCACACUGGGACUGAGACACGGCCCAGACUCCUACGGGAGGCAGCAGUAGGGAAUCUUCCGCAAUGGGCGAAAGCCUGACGGAGCAACGCCGCGUGAGUGAUGAAGGUUUUCGGAUCGUAAAGCUCUGUUGCCAAGGAAGAACGUCUUCUAGAGUAACUGCUAGGAGAGUGACGGUACUUGAGAAGAAAGCCCCGGCUAACUACGUGCCAGCAGCCGCGGUAAUACGUAGGGGGCAAGCGUUGUCCGGAAUUAUUGGGCGUAAAGCGCGCGCAGGCGGUUCUUUAAGUCUGGUGUUUAAACCCGAGGCUCAACUUCGGGUCGCACUGGAAACUGGGGAACUUGAGUGCAGAAGAGGAGAGUGGAAUUCCACGUGUAGCGGUGAAAUGCGUAGAUAUGUGGAGGAACACCAGUGGCGAAGGCGACUCUC